GGGCCCGCACAAGCGGUGGAGCAUGUGGUUUAAUUCGAUGCAACGCGAAGAACCUUACCAGGGUUUGACAUAGUACGAAGUUUUUUGAAAAAAAAGCCACCUUCGGGAACGUACAUACAGGUGGUGCAUGGCUGUCGUCAGCUCGUGUCGUGAGAUGUUGGGUUAAGUCCCGCAACGAGCGUAACCCUUGUUUUUAGUUGCCUUUCGAGGAUAUUUAGAAAGACUGCCGAUUAUAAAUCGGAGGAAGGUAAGGACGACGUCAAGUCAUCAUGCCCCUUACACUCUGGGCUACACACGUGCUACAAUGGUUGGUACAGAGGGCAGCUACCGGGUGACCGGAUGCG
rnacentral:rRNA from 1 species